UGAUAAAGAAAGGAAUUAAACCAAUGUAAAUAGGUCUACAGCCUACUGCCUGUCACUCGGCCACUUUACCU
rnacentral:tRNA from 1 species